UGUGGGACUCAACCGUGGGAGCAGGGGCCGUCUCUGACUCUGUUGCCUGCCUUUGAGACCCUAUACCC
rnacentral:miRNA from 1 species